rnacentral:rRNA from 1 species
AUUGAACGCUGGCGGCAGGCCUAACACAUGCAAGUCGAGCGAGCGGCGGACGGGUGAGUAAUGUCUGGGAAACUGCCUGAUGGAGGGGGAUAACUACUGGAACCGGUAGCUAAUACCGCAUACCAUCAGAUGUGCCCAGAUGGAAUUAGCUAGGAGGUGGGGUAACGGCUCACCUAGGCGACGAUCCCUAGCUGGUCUGAGAGGAUGACCAGCCACAUUGGAACUGCGACACGGUCCAGACGCCUACGGGAGGCAGCAGUGGGGAAUAUUGCACAAUGGGCGGAAGCCUGAUGCAGCCAUGCCGCGUGUAUGAAGAAGGCCUUCGGGUUGUAAAGUACUUUCAGCGGGGAGGCGUUACCCGCAGAAGAAGCACCGGCUAACUCCGUGCCAGCAGCCGCGGUAAUUC